AAAGGGUCCGCAGGCGGAUUUAUAAGUCAGUGGUGAAAUCCUAUCGCUUAACGAUAGAACUGCCAUUGAUACUGUAAGUCUUGAAUUCGGUCGGAGUGGGCGGAAUGUGUAGUGUAGCGGUGAAAUGCAUAGAUAUUACACAGAACACCGAUAGCGAAGGCAGCUCACUAGGCCUGAAUUGACGCUCAGGGACGAAAGCGUGGGGAUCAAACAGGAUUAGAUACCCCAGU
rnacentral:rRNA from 1 species